rnacentral:sRNA from 1 species
UGCUCGCCAUCAUCAGGAGGGAUUGCUCCCCCC